CUCAAUAAAUGUUUGUUGAAUU
rnacentral:miRNA from 15 species